rnacentral:rRNA from 1 species
ACACGACUCUCGGCAAUGGAUAUCUCGGCUCUCGCAUCGAUGAAGAGCGCAGCGAAAUGCGAUACGUGGUGCGAAUUGCAGAAUCCCGCGAACCAUCGAGUCUUUGAACGCAAGUUGCGCCCGAGGCCAACCGGCCAAGGGCACGUCUGCCUGGGCGUCCAGC